GGUGGGGUGUGGGGGUGGCUGAAGGAGCCCGCCUGGAAGGUGUGUAUGCGGAAACGUAUGGGGGUUUCAAACCCCCCCCUCACCGCCA
rnacentral:tRNA from 1 species